GUUUACACCCGUUCCCGUACGAUCAGCGAAGUUAAGCAACGUUGGGACUGGUUACUACCUAGAUGGGUUACCGCUUGGGAAUACCAGGUGCUGUAAG